AUCCCAGCUUGCUGGGGGAUUAGUGGCGAACGGGUGAGUAACACGUGAGUAACCUGCCCUUAACUCUGGGAUAAGCCUGGGAAACUGGGUCUAAUACCGGAUAUGACUCCUCAUCGCAUGGUGGGGGGUGGAAAGCUUUAUUGUGGUUUUGGAUGGACUCGCGGCCUAUCAGCUUGUUGGUGAGGUAAUGGCCCACCAAGGCGACGAUCAGUAGCCGGCCUGAGAGGGCGUACGGCCACACUGGAACUGAGACACGGUCCAGACUCCUACGGGAGGCAGCAGUGGGGAAUUUUGCGCAAUGGGCGAAAGCCUGACGCAGCAACGCCGCGUGGAGGAUGAAGGCCUUCGGG
rnacentral:rRNA from 1 species